CGGGCUGCUUGUGUCAGCAGCUUUCUUUUCCCGUCGGCUGCCACAGCCGCGCAUGGCUUCAGCCUUGCGCGGACCCUGCUCCCGGGAAAAACGCUCGGAGAGGAUGCAUCCUUGUUACAGCCUUGAGAUCUGAGCAGUGCUCAUGCAGCAUUUCCUUUCCUGCUUUUCCACCAAAUAUCCUCUGGGUGCCAAGAAAUCAUGCUUUCUUUCACCAGCAGAAAUAAUAUCUCAUUUUCCCCCCUCUGAAAAGCACUUGUGGAACAAAAGUAAUACUAGAGGGUCACAAUGUCAUCUGAAGAAGCUGUAAACAAGCCCGAGUAGGGACUGAUGAGUGCACAACAGACGCCUCGUGUAGAAUGGCUCUUAGUUGCCGUUUUCUGUCCUAGUUCCUGCUACUGACUGGUCUUCCUUGACUUUAGUGCUUCUUCAGCAUCAGUACUGUGGACUCUGCUUCUAUCAGCUACACCCUUAACGGGCCUCUUAACCUUUCCAUCAAAAUCAAUGUGAUUCUUAAAGGUACUUCUCUCCUGGCUGAAUUGUGUCUUUUAUGACUAAUGAUAGAAACAUAUACCUGUAUAUCUCUGCUUGGCAUACAAUGGCUACUUUUUCCACAAUAAAUAAUGUUAUAAAAAUA